AGUCUACAGAGGCCAGAGAAGAACAAAAGGCACAACGCAGACACAGAAAUACGGUGAACAAGAGAAACAUGAACAAAAUGGCGUAUUCUGGCUGACAAGACGUCUAAUAGGGUUCCACCACCUGCACAGAGCAUCAGUUUAUACUUUGAGUUCAGCUUUACUUGUCAUGAGGAGAACUUCCAAAACUUGUAAAACCGUUCCAUAAUGGAUUCUGCUUCUGGAAGAAGCCUUUUUAUUUUUCCUGUUUGUUGCUUUGACGUCUGGUAAGCAGCACAGCAGCUGCUGUACGUGUGUGUGUUUGAUUAUGUGCACAGUGAGUACAGUGAGAAGGGGAAGGCGAGCUAAUCGAGUGACCAAGACUAAGGAACAGCUCUGAACAAAUCAGGCAGAGGCCUGUCCUCACAGGGCCUCGGCAGCUUUGGAGAAACUCUCAAGCUGUCGGCUCCUCUGCAGUCCGGCCUCAGCCCUGAAGUCCUCAUACUCUGGGUCCUCAGUGUCCUGAUAGUGGAGUGCGGCGGAUUCCAGGUGUUUUUGCCACUGAAAAUGAAAUGAACAGAGUGAAGAUGGCCAAUUAGACUUUCUGUGAGGCUAGUUCCCCUACUCUUACACAUGUAUUGUGAUAUAAUACUGUAUAUUACUAGCAUCAGAUAUUUGAUUGCAUGAUGACAUCACUGGGGACAAAUGGCUUACUAUACACAGCAAUGCAUAGUAUUAGUCAAUUAGAUAGAUACUUUAGUUUUGGUAAUGUUUAAAUACCUUUUCCCUUUCCUUGCUGGCUGGUCUGUGUUGGUGGGAUCGAGGAGUUUCUGGGGCAACAACAGUCUUGACUGGUUCCUCAUCCAGCAAAGAGUGAAGAAAGAGCUCUGUCUUGGUUUGUAAGCAGAUGCAUAUUCCAUAAAUGCUACUGCUGGUUUGAAGAACGUCUGACUACCAAAACCAGAAAUCCGUCAAGGCCUAGAGAUACACUUGUGUCUCACUUGUGGUCUCUGAAGAUGUCUUGAAGGAAAUGU